UACGUAGGGCGCAAGCGUUAUCCGGAAUUAUUGGGCGUAAAGAGCUCGUAGGCGGUUUGUCGCGUCUGCCGUGAAAGUCCGGGGCUCAACUCCGGAUCUGCGGUGGGUACGGGCAGACUAGAGUGAUGUAGGGGAGACUGGAAUUCCUGGUGUAGCGGUGAAAUGCGCAGACUAUCAGGAGGAACACCGAUGGCGAAGGCAGGUCUCUGGGCAUUAACUGACGCUGAGGAGCGAAAGCCAUGGGGAGCGAACAGG
rnacentral:rRNA from 1 species